AGCUUCACCGGAUCGACCCCGCGGGUGACCACGAGGUAGUCGCGCAGCGCGAUGCCAUGCCGCCCCUC
rnacentral:sRNA from 1 species